rnacentral:lncRNA from 1 species
ACCGUAUUGUGUACGGAACAGUGAGGAAGCGGCUACAGAUCAUGGUUUAACCUCAAAUAACAGUAAAAUUCACGAGGUAUGCCCCAAAUUUCCACCAGCUAGCUGCCCAUUGAAGCCUAGACAUCGUUCUUUAGAACAGUUGAAUCAUCUACAGAGCGGUCGACUAUUAAGGACGAACAAAGUGGAGCCAUGUGGUUUUAAAACAAUUUCAAAGCCUCUACGUCCUCCGUGAUAACGUGUACAUCAGACGUAAAAGAAAGCCCUGCUGCUGUUAGAUGUCAAAUUGAGUGUAUGAGUGACAAAUAAAUCUACACGUUACAUAAACUGGGCCACGAUCACACCUACUUCA